UACGGAGGGUGCGAGCGUUAAUCGGAAUUACUGGGCGUAAAGCGUGCGUAGGCGGUUCGUUAAGUCAGAUGUGAAAGCCCUGGGCUCAACCGGGGAACGGCAUUUGAAACUGGCGGACUAGAGUUUAGUAGAGGGGAGUGGAAUUUCAGGUGUAGCGGUGAAAUGCGUAGAUAUCUGAAGGAACACCAGUGGCGAAGGCGACUCCCUGGACUAGAACUGACGCUGAGGUACGAAAGCGAGGGUAGCAAACAGGAUGGAAUACCUUGGUAGUCAACGCCGUAAACAAUGUCAGCUAGCCGUUGGUCCUAUUUACAGGAUUAGUGGCGCAGCUAACGCAUUAAGUUGACCGCCUGGGGAGUACGGCCGCAAGGUUA
rnacentral:rRNA from 1 species